UACGUAGGGGGCCAGCGUUGUCCGGAAUCAUUGGGCGUAAAGCGCGCGUAGGCGGUUUGUUAAGUCGGAUGUGAAAUCCCUCGGCUCAACUGAGGAAGUGCAUCCGAAACUGGCAGGCUUGAGUACUAAAGAGGGUCGCGGAAUUCCCGGUGUAGAGGUGAAAUUCGUAGAUAUCGGGAGGAACACCGGUGGCGAAGGCGGCGACCUGGGUAGAUACUGACGCUGAGGUGCGAAAGCGUGGGGAGCAAACAGG
rnacentral:rRNA from 1 species